rnacentral:rRNA from 1 species
UACGUAGGGCGCAAGCGUUGUCCGGAAUUAUUGGGCGUAAAGAGCUCGUAGGCGGUCUGUCACGUCUGCCGUGAAAACCCGAGGCUUAACCUCGUGGCUUGCGGUGGAUACGGGCAGACUAGAGGUAGGUAGGGGAGAACGGAAUUCCCGGUGUAGCGGUGAAAUGCGCAGAUAUCGGGAGGAACACCGGUGGCGAAGGCGGUUCUCUGGGCCUUGCCUGACGCUGAGGAGCGAAAGCAUGGGGAGCGAACAGG